rnacentral:rRNA from 1 species
AGUAAAUAGAUACCCAGGUAGUCCACGCCGUAAACGAUGAGUACUAGGUGUAGGAGGUAUCGACUCCUUCUGUGCCGCAGUUAAACACAAUAAGUACUCCGCCUGGGAAGUACGGUCGCAAGAUUAAAACUCAAAGGAAUUGACGGGGGCCCGCACAAGCAGCGGAGCAUGUGGUUUAAUUCGAAGCAACGCGAAGAACCUUACCUAGACUUGACAUCUCCUGAAUAGUGUAGAGAUACAUGAAGCCCUUCGGGGCAGGAAGACAGGUGGUGCAUGGUUGUCGUCAGCUCGUGUCGUGAGACUGGUUAGUA